rnacentral:rRNA from 1 species
CCUACGGGCGGCAGCAGUGGGGAAUAUUGGACAAUGGGCGAAAGCCUGAUCCAGCCAUGCCGCGUGUGUGAAGAAGGCCUUCGGGUUGUAAAGCACUUUCAGUGGGGAAGAAAGCCUUGGGGCUAAUACCCUCGAGGAAGGACAUCACCCACAGAAGAAGCACCGGCUAACUCCGUGCCAGCAGCCGCGGUAAUACGGAGGGUGCGAGCGUUAAUCGGAAUUACUGGGCGUAAAGCGCGCGUAGGCGGUCUGAUAAGCCGGUUGUGAAAGCCCCGGGCUCAACCUGGGAACGGCAUCCGGAACUGUCAGGCUAGAGUGCAGGAGAGGAAGGUAGAAUUCCCGGUGUAGCGGUGAAAUGCGUAGAGAUCGGGAGGAAUACCAGUGGCGAAGGCGGCCUUCUGGACUGACACUGACGCUGAGGUGCGAAAGCGUGGGUAGCAAACAGGAUUAGAUACCCUAGUGGUC